rnacentral:rRNA from 1 species
GACGAACGCUGGCAGCGUGCCUAAUACAUGCAAGUAGAACGCUGAAGGAGGAGCUUGCUUCUCUGGAUGAGUUGCGAACGGGUGAGUAACGCGUAGGUAACCUGCCUGGUAGCGGGGGAUAACUAUUGGAAACGAUAGCUAAUACCGCAUAAGAGUAGAUGUUGCAUGACAUUUGCUUAAAAGGUGCAAUUGCAUCACUACCAGAUGGACCUGCGUUGUAUUAGCUAGUUGGUGGGGUAACGGCUCACCAAGGCGACGAUACAUAGCCGACCUGAGAGGGUGAUCGGCCACACUGGGACUGAGACACGGCCCAGACUCCUACGGGAGGCAGCAGUAGGGAAUCUUCGGCAAUGGACGGAAGUCUGACCGAGCAACGCCGCGUGAGUGAAGAAGGUUUUCGGAUCGUAAAGCUCUGUUGUAAGAGAAGAACGAGUGUGAGAGUGGAAAGUUCACACUGUGACGGUAUCUUACCAGAAAGGGACGGCUAACUACGUGCCAGCAGCCGCGGUAAUACGUAGGUGGCAAGCGUUAUCCGGAUUUAUUGGGCGUAAAGAGAGUGCAGGCGGUUUUCUAAGUCUGAUGUGAAAGCCUUCGGCUUAACCGGAGAAGUGCAUCGGAAACUGGAUAACUUGAGUGCAGAAGAGGGUAGUGGAGCUCCAUGUGUAGCGGUGGAAUGCGUAGAUAUAUGGAAGAACACCAGUGGCGAAGGCGGCUACCUGGUCUGCAACUGACGCUGAGACUCGAAAGCAUGGGUAGCGAACAGG